rnacentral:rRNA from 1 species
UACGUAGGGUGCAAGCGUUAAUCGGAAUUACUGGGCGUAAAGCGUGCGCAGGCGGUUUUGUAAGUCUGACGUGAAAUCCCCGGGCUCAACCUGGGAAUUGCGUUGGAGACUGCAAGGCUGGAGUCUGGCAGAGGGGGGUAGAAUUCCACGUGUAGCAGUGAAAUGCGUAGAGAUGUGGAGGAACACCGAUGGCGAAGGCAGCCCCCUGGGCCAAGACUGACGCUCAUGCACGAAAGCGUGGGGAGCAAACAGG